rnacentral:rRNA from 1 species
UACGGAGGGUGCAAGCGUUAUCCGGAUUCACUGGGUUUAAAGGGUGCGUAGGUGGAGAGGUAAGUCAGUGGUGAAAUCUCCAAGCUUAACUUGGAACUGCCGUUGAUACUAUCUUUCUUGAAUAUCGUUGGAGGUGAGCGGAAUAUGUCAUGUAGCGGUGAAAUGCUUAGAUAUGAACAUAGAACACCAAUUGCGAAGGCAGCUUAACUACACAGUAAUUGACACUGAGGCACGAAAGCGUGGGGAUCAAACAGG